AACUCACAUACUGCUUCCAGAACCUUCUCUCUCGCUAACUUACAGACUGCUUCCAGAACCUCUCUCGAUCGCAUCUCCAAUCUUUGAUCUCAUAGAUCUCAUUUCUACUUCCCUGUAGUCUGAUCCAUUUAUCAAAGGAAAUGGCGAAGGCUGUUGCUGUCCUGGGUAGCAGUGAGGGUGUUAACGGCACAAUUUACUUCGUCUAGGAAGGAGAUGAUAAUUGGAGUGCGAAGGCAAUCACAAGGAAGACAACUGGUAUUGGAAGGAUGAAAUAUCUCCCUCAUAUGCCACAAAGGUUCAAGAACAAUUUCAGAGAAGCU